AGCUCAAGAUGUAGACGUCUGCAUUUAUCCUUAAAAUGUGUUUUAAAUAUUCCCCUCCCCAUCCCAUCUCCUCGGUAGCAGUAGCUAUGUUCUGAGGCUUGCAAGGUGAAAAGGACGGGUGGAUGUGAAGUGAUUUCAAAGGAAUAAAGUUCUCCGGCCGUAGUUUGUACAGGAGCCGUGCAGACAUCCAUUUUAAUUAUUGAUGCGAAGCCCUGUCACUGGUGAGGAGGAAAGGGGCUUUCUUUUGUUGCACACGUUCUAUGCACUGUGGUCCACACACCAUUUAACCCUCACCAUCCCGUGGAUUGUGUUUCAGAUCCUUCCCUAACAGCGGAUCUGCAAGAUUAAAGAAUUAAGCCUGUAUCUGGCUGCCUCCAGUUGCUGGCACUGGAGCUACUUGUGUGAUAGAAGGUGUAUGGCGCAGUCGUUUACUUCAAAUUGAUGCAAAAAUUUAAGUACCUGAGAUGGGACACCAAAGGAGGACGGGAAGCCAAGAGGAGGGAGUUAAGAAUCUUCGCAUUCUUGUUGCCUGCUAUUUCUGUCCCUGUUGAUGCAACAGCAGUUCUUUAAGUAGCAGCAGCAGGUCAUUUGGGUAUCUCCCACACUCCCUGCACCAGCUGCCAGGUGCCUCUGCUGCAAGAUGCACCUGCUGUGCAUGCGCACACUGUAGUUCUCAGGAAGCUAUGGCUCUGCCCUCUGCACACCCAGCCUCUUAAGGCUCAGGCCCCGUUUCCCUUUUGCUUCUGUAUUUUUAUGUGAGCAACCAGGCAAGACCACUCAUUACAUAUUUGGAAGCGUUUUGCCCUUUGAAAGCAGGCAAGUGGUUUAAAAACUUUCAAUACAUUUAUUUGUGACAAUGUGUAUGUGCAAGCUUGUGUGUGAGCGCAUGUGUGUGUGUCACAGGAUACACGUAGAGGCCAGAGGAUGGAUUACAGGAGUGGGUUUUUGCCUCCCACUGCGUGGGGCAUGAGAACUGAGCUCAGGUCACUGGGCCUGGUGGUUAGGGUCUUUCUGCUGAGACAUCCCGCUAGCCUGAUAACUUCAAGUUCUGGUAGUUUCCUGUACAUCUCUUGUUCCCGCUUUUCCACUAAAUCUGAAAGCAGAAUAUCCUAAAGAAAAGCCUCAGACCUCCUCUACUAUAGUGAUGGGUGUGAGGAAGUAUCCCUUUCCUUCUUUCUCUUGAUUUUCUACCCAAAUCCAAGAGGUCCCCAGAGAACUUUCUGGCCCUUUCCCUUAAAGGUGCUAAGGGAGGCUAGGACAGGAGUCUCCUUGCAUCUCACCUUAGCUCUUCCUAUUCUAUACUGCCACUCUCCAGUGGGAUUGUGAGGCAGAAGAUUUGGCCCAUCCCACUUAGGGAGGAACAGCUCUUGUUUACAUCCAUUCAGAGCAACCAAAGACAAAGACAAAACCAGGCAUUUGGCAAGCCAAGCUGAUCAAACAUGAUCCCUGCCCUAGAGCAGGCUUUAUCUAGUAACGGCAAGUCAUUGCACAAGUCUGAGCCCAAGCCUAAAUACUUUUAUCAUGCAGUCAAUCAUUUGAGUCUAAUGCCAUCUGUGAAGGUCUGCGGAGGCUGCUUGAGAGGAUAUAUAACAACUGAGAGGCACCCCAGACACAUCAGCAUGUGUUGGGUGGCGCAAAGUUGCCUGAGAACUUUUGUGUGUAGGACUGUACGGGGAGGUCCAUAAAGCUAGGGCAGAAGGCUAGGCACACUGGGUAACUGAGGUAGAACCCAGAGACCAUGGGAAGCUGGCAGGGAUGAGGUCCAUCUGCAGCAGAAACAGCUCAUACCAGCAGUUGUGUGAGAGAGCUGGCAAAGAUCUGAGACAGGAGAGUGGCUACAAGCUGGUGUAAUACUAGCUGGUGGCUCCAAAGAUGUGUAAGAGAUUUUCUAGUGCUUUCUGAGCCAAACAGUGAUUCAAAGCAGUGGGUGCAAAUGAAUAAAGCCUGUGGCCAAGUUUCUUCUUGGAAUAUCACAUCCAGCAGAGGCACUGGGUUCUACCUGGGAUGACUGUGUUGCAAGGAGAGCUGAAGUAUCCGGGGGACCAUAGGAAGGACCAAUGGGCAGGCAGUAAGGAUGUGUGUGUGUGUGUGUGUGUGUGUGUGUGUGUGUGUGUGUGUGUGUGUGUUUGUGUGUGUUUCACAGUUUGGAGUGUGCCACAUGGCAGUGUCUGAGUGUCAUUCCCUAGGCUACUGAGAACUGGUAUUGAUCUGGAAGGACAUGAUGCGAGGCCAUGGGUCAUGAAGUCUAAUCCAGCAGCUGUGUGUAGGAGGCAUCGGAGCAGGAAGGAGGUUGUGUCAGUUGUUUUCUUGUUGCUACGACAAACAGCUGCCAAGAAACAUCUUAAGAAAGGAAGGACUUAUUUUGGUUAUAGUUUGAGUUCUUUAAGGCCAGGAAGCCGUCAUGGCAGAAACAUGAGAGAGGUGUCACACAGCAGACCUAAAGCCUCAAGGCCUUCCCACAGUGACUCAUUUCCUCCAGUGAGGAUCCUACUUCUUGAGGGUUCUGUGACCUUCUGAAAUAACACUGAAGAGGUCAACUAACUAAAAACUGUUGGAAAAUUCCACCAGGCACCCCUUCCCUCCUGGAAUACGUAGGCCAUAAGGGAGAGGUUGAUUUAACCCCCC